CCAUUCGUUCCUCUGGGGAUCUUCAGUCCAAAAUAGCAGGUGGUAUCAUGCUGAGAGCGGGUAUGGCAAGUGUGCCCAGGAGAUCCAAUAAAGUCAGCACAUCCUCUGGACGAAGCUGCCAGCUUGCCUCUGACAGCUUCUCUGCAGUUGCCUCCCUCUGCAAAAAGAAUCCAUAGAGUGCCAACAGCAAAACCACUGCCUGCCCUUCCUCCAGUUGACGUCUCUUCCCUUAUAACCAUGUCGCAGAGGUGCUGGUGGGAUGCAGAGGGGUAUAAGUCACUUUCACCAGGUGGAAUGUCAAAUGGGCAUACUACUAUUUAGGGAUGCAUACUACUAUCCUAGGGAUGCAUGUUUAUAAAGUACUAUAGUAGUGUGAUAUGCUGCCUGAAGCUGUGCCAUCUCCUCAGAAGUAAAAGAAGGAGAUGGAAGCUUCCUUUUGCAUCACCUCUUUCCACAGGAGAGAGGAGACCUUGGUUGAGCUCAGUGUAUUCCCUAUGUCCAGAUGUUCCUAUAUAGGGGCCCCUACUGGGGUACAUGUUGAGAAAAUGAGCUAUGCUUAAUUCUUUUCUUUUCUUCUAAUUGGCCUGCAGACAUUGUCCUACCUUCUCUUCUCCAUUACUUGUGUAAGCAGAGUCAGAAUGAGCUCUACCGUGACAGCUGGCGAGCUGAUUCCUUUGUAGAUGUCAAUAAGUGUAAUGGCAGAAUAUCUUUCCUUCCUCCUCCCCACUCUCCACUGUCCCCCCAUGUGUCUGUCCCUCCUGUGCAAAUAUGCAGAGAAUCCACACCAAACCCCGGGAGGCAGAACAGCUGCUUUGCAAUUACAACAGAUCCCCACUAUCCAUUUUGUGUUGAUAUAAGAAACAAGGAGAUGCAAAGGUGUGCAGACAGCCCAGUCUGAAACUAGAACUCCGUCUCUUGUUCCCUGAGGAAGAAGCCAGCUCUGGAAGCAGCAAGAAGAUGGUUAUCUAUGUAUCACGCUCUACAUCCUCCGGAUGGUCAGAAGUGGAAUUAAAUGAGCUUUGCAAGUAGUUUGGUUCUGGUAAAGUAUAGCUCUAAACAGUUCACUAAGAUAUCACACAAAGGGAAAUAUAGGGACUCUGUGUGUGCGUGUGUGUGUGAAAAAAGAAUGCUCUUAUUUUCACAGCAUAAGGUGAGAGUUUCAGAAUAAAAAAACAAAAAUGUCUGGAAUGUCA
rnacentral:lncRNA from 1 species